GACGAACGCUGGCGGCGUGCUUAACACAUGCCAGUCGAACGGAAAGGCCCUGCUUGCAGGGUACUCGAGUGGCGAACGGGUGAGUAACACGUGGGUGAUCUGCCCUGCACUUCGGGAUAAGCUUGGGAAACUGGGUCUAAUACCGGAUAGGUGCCAUCUUUAGUGUGGUGGUUGGAAAGUUUUUUCGGUGUAGGAUGAGCUCGCGGCCUAUCAGCUUGUUGGUGGGGUAAUGGCCUACCAAGGCGGCGACGGGUAGCCGGCCUGAGAGGGUGUACGGCCACAUUGGGCCUGAGAUACGGGCCAGACUCCUACGGGAGGCAGCAGUGGGGAAUAUCGCACAAUGGGCGCAAGCCUGAUGCAGCGACGCCGCGUGGGGGAUGAAGGCCUUCGGGUUGUAAACUCCUUUCGCUAGGGACGAAGCUUUGUUGUGACGGUACCUAGAUAAGAAGCACCGGCUAACUACGUG
rnacentral:rRNA from 1 species